UUUUGAAGGGUUUUUUUGUGUCUGUAAUUAUUUUUAAUUUGGGCUUCACUUCCCAGUCCAGUGAGAUGUGCUCUGCUACUUUCAUACUUUCUUAACCCUAUUAAUGUAGCCACAAAUUGUAGCUCUUUGGAUAUAUAAUUUAUUGCUGAACAUUCAAGUUUAAAGUUUUAAAAAUUUUCCUUGACCAGGGAUUGUGCAGCAUUGAUCAUAAUCAGCAUGAUCAUUAUUUGCAGUAGUUAAUACAUAGAAAACACUCUUUUUUUUGUUGAGUCAAUGAAUGCAUGUAUGAAUCAGAAGAAACAAAAUAGUAGUUUCUAUAUCUGCUAAGAAAGCAAAAUAAUGUAACAUACUAUCACUAUACUCAGCAUCUGAGUUUAUGUUUUAGUUUAUUUUGAUCAGUAAUACUACAUUAAUUACCUAGGAGUAAUAAGAAAAAAAGCUUGCUUAAUAUUUAAAUGUCAUGUUAAUGCAAAUGAAAGCCAAAUGCCCUCAUGCCAUAUAAUAAAAGGGUCAGUUUUGCAUUAGUUCAAAUAAAAAAGAGUGAUUGAGAAUUGAGUCACCACAAGGAACACAGUGGGUUGGGCAUGAUAAACUCAGCAGAAUCUCUAUCGUAGUAGCCAAUAUCAUUAUCUGGGUUUUGAGUGGAGAUCAACAAAAUAGUAUCAUCUAUCACACAAAUUUGUUGAUUUGAAUUUUACUGGUUCAUUGUUUAUUUUAUAAAUUUCUUCGUGGUUUUAAUUGUACAAGAGCUGAUAAGUAUAAGAAUUUAUAUUUAAGUGCAUAGUUUUUACCUGUGUGUAAGUAUUUAACAUAUUAAAAUAAUUUUGGAGAGUUCAUGAGACUUGUUUUCCUUUAAAAAGAAACCACGUCUUACUCAAACUUGCAUAAGCACCACACAACCCAAGUACUUUCUCAGUAGAACUCCAUUUGAGAACAGCUUGUUAGUGUGUAGAUUUGGAUAUAUGUGCCCUCAGAAACAUCACAGCAACAUACCAAAGCCCAAUAUAUCAGAGUUAAUCUGUGAUGCAGGCAUCAGUCCAGCUGGUACAUUCUGCUGUGAGUGCUUCACUCUAUUUUUAGUGGUAAUUUAUUUGGCAUGCAGAUUGAGAUCUUUCGUGGGAAUAACAAAAUGACUCACGCCUUCAGCUGCCCGAUUCUCCUAAGAACCACGAUGUGAGGCUGCACGAUUGUGGACCUGGGACAGUUGGUGGAUCCUGGUAACUGGAGGAUCUUUUACAAACUUAAAUAUUUUCUUAAACAAGGGUUUGAAGAUGCCUGUUUGAAGGAAAGAAACACGCUCCAGAGCAAGUCCCAACUCCCCAGUAAGGUGCAUUAUGUCAGAGUCUCCAGAAGCAAGCCUUAAGACAAGGAUUCCUGAGCACAUGAUUUGUUAAGAAGUGUUCUCAGGAAAACUGGUAAGAAAGUGGGGAAGCAGUAGAGGGAAGAGGAAGAGGGCAAACGAGUUCCACACCCCACUUGAUCCUGUGGGGAGCUCUGGAAUAUAAAUUAUACCUCAAAUUUGUCCUGUCUUCAUAGAAGGAGGCUGAGCUUUUAUACUCCCACAUGAGUCAAUCAUUGACUGUUGGCUUCUCCCAGGAAGAAGUUAUUGGCAGUGCAAAUUACUGUAUAUUUUUGAUUCUUUACACUGCAGGCAAAGCUGUUUUAGCUGUCUAAGGCUAGGCCAUUGAAGACAGUUGCAGGUGAAAAGCAUUAUAAUUAAAGCACACCCAACCUUGGCGCUGGAUACACAGA
rnacentral:lncRNA from 1 species